UACGUAGGGGGCAAGCGUUUGUCCGGAAUCAUUGGGCGUAAAGAGCGUGUAGGCGGCUCGAUAAGUCUGCUGUGAAAGUCCAGGGCUCAACCCUGGAAGGCCGGUGGAAACUGUCGGGCUAGAGUCCGGAAGAGGCGAGUGGAAUUCCUGGUGUAGCGGUGGAAUGCGCAGAUAUCAGGAGGAACACCAAUAGCGAAGGCAGCUCGCUGGGACGGUAUUGACGCUAAGGCGCGAAAGCGUGGGGAGCAAACAGG
rnacentral:rRNA from 1 species